rnacentral:lncRNA from 1 species
GGACCAUGACAGCGAGCUCCGCUUCACGCAGCUCUGUGUCAAAGGUGGAGGUGGAGGUGGAAAUGGUAUUAGAGAUAUCUUUAAACAAAACAUCAGCUGUCGAGUCUCGUUCAUCACUCGGACACCUGGGGAGCGGUGAGCAGGAAUGGGGCUCUGGCAGGUUGGCCUGGCUGAGCCCCCUGCAGAGAAAUGAAGGGAGUAGGACUGGCUGAUCAGCCCCUGGUAAAAUCAGGCAUUUGCCCUUUGAAAGUAGCUCAUGGUAGCACAAACAUUCCAGCUGCCUCUCUCACCCUAUGCUGCUCGGAUGCUUGGCUCUCUCCCUGCUGCUCCAGGCCAGAAUCAUUCUACAAAACAAAUCAUGAGAUCCUAUUAAUUCAUUUUGUGCCUUGCCCCCUGCCUGGUACCAGGAGCCACUCCCUACCUCUACCCCAUGCUCUGCCCAGGGAGUUGUUCUCCUGGCUGCAAAGACAAGGGGAGAACAGCCCCAUUUCUUUUUC